AACCCCUGGCUAUGCCGGGGGUUCCAUAGAGCUUCUAGCGUGGGGACAAAAAAAGCCUCUCUUCAUGAUAAGAUAAGGUAGGUUUCCCGACCACCAAAUCUCAUCAAAGA
rnacentral:sRNA from 1 species